GGCGGCAGCGGCGCACGCUUCCUGGUCGCCACCUGCUUCCAGAAGAGGACGUAGCAUAUGACCACGGAUACUGCCAAGGUGGAGAGCAGCAGUGGGGUUGGGAUAUCCAUAGUUCGCCCGAUCUCCAUGGAUUUGCCGUCUGAUGACAUGCGUGGGAACGAAAUACAAGGCAUGUGCAUGCGAACCUAUGUAGCGGAGAUAAAAAAGUUGGUGAGUCGGAUGCCAAGUCAUUGCCUUACCUACUACCUUACCUACUACCAUAAAGUAGUAGCUAUAUAGUGGUUGGUCGAGGAUGCAUGGUCGUCGUGUCGCUGGAGCCAAGUAGGCGUCGUGGCAGGGUCGUCGUCGAGGUCGCGAUGAUCUCCAAGUCCCGGCAGAGCCGCCGGGAAACCGUUCUCCAAAGCUCUUGGCUAGCUCGCUUGUCUUCUGGUUGGCUCCUGGUAGGGCACAUGCACGUACGUGCCGGGCUUCACGUCUCCUUUGCUUGCAUGUUGGGGGC
rnacentral:lncRNA from 1 species